rnacentral:lncRNA from 1 species
GCUAUGAAUGGAUGGAGUUGGAGAGAACAUCGUAGAAGGGAAGGCUCGUGGGUGGCCUUAGAGGAAGUGGAUGAUAAGGAAGAGAAGAGAUUGAGGAGGAAGGGGAGGAGGAAGGAUGGAUUGCCAAUGAGAAGGGGCAGAGAUGGAGAAGGCCACCAUAGAGGGGUAGGGCUCAUGGCGGGCUUGGAGAAAAAAAAGGAUAAGAAGGAGAAGUAGAUGAGGGGAAGAGGAGGGG